rnacentral:rRNA from 1 species
GAUGAACGCUGGCGGCGUGCUUAACACAUGCAAGUCGAACGGAAAGGCUCCUGCUUGCAGGGGUACUCGAGUGGCGAACGGGUGAGUAACACGUGGGUGAUCUGCCCUGCACUUCGGGAUAAGCCUGGGAAACUGGGUCUAAUACCGGAUAGGACGAUGGUUUGGAUGCCAUUGUGGAAAGUUUUUCGGUGUGGGAUGAGCUCGCGGCCUAUCAGCUUGUUGGUGGGGUAUGGCCUACCAAGGCGUCGACGGGUAGCCGGCCUGAGAGGGUGUACGGCCACAUUGGGACUGAGAUACGGCCCAGACUCCUACGGGAGGCAGCAGUGGGGAAUAUUGCACAAUGGGCGCAAGCCUGAUGCAGCGACGCCGCGUGGGGGAUGACGGCCUUCGGGUUGUAAACUCCUUUCGUCAGGGACGAAGCGAAAGUGACGGUACCUGGAUAAGAAGCACCGGCUAACUACGUG